rnacentral:misc_RNA from 1 species
CUUGUAUCGUUGCGGCAACGAGUGCCGUACAAGGGGGGCCCCAUCUCCCACACACACACACACACACGCACACACGCACAUUCACACUCACACAGAGUCAACUCCUCCCCCUACGCUUUUUCCGAGCUCUGCGCUCAUGCGACGGAUUGGUGUGGCAACCUGUCAGCGACGGUGGCUUGCCUCAGCAACGCUUCCGCGCGCCGGGAAAUGCGGAACACCAUGGUCAGGGCAUAGCUUCAUUCUCGAUACCGCGGCGUCUCUCACAACCGCGAUCCGCGAAGUGCGCUCUACGGCGGUCUGCUGCGCCCCGAAGGAUGCGCAGUAUCAGUGUGGCGAGUGCGGCAAAACGUUCCGCCUCGUCAACGCCCUCAAUCACCACAUCAUGACCCGCCACGGCAACAACGCCAAGGCGCUCAUGAAGAAGGACGGCAGGCUAGUCCCUGUGGAGACGGACCAGCUCAAGGGUGGGGCGCAUUGUGGGGCCCCCUCCUCGUCCACAGCGACGACGAGCUCGGCAACUCCGGCCGGGGCUGCCGCCGCGGCGUCGUCGUCUCCACUGUCCGGCGGCGCCACCUCACCGUUUCCGGUGCACUUUGCCGCCCCUUUCGGCGGCGCCGCCGCAUCCAUGGGCGGGGUGGCGUCGUCUUCCACUCCACCAGGCACCGCUCCAGGGGUGCUGCAGGCCUCCGCCACACCCGUCACCGCCGCGGCUGGCGCAACCACUGCAAGCAAUGGCGAGAACGGAAGCGGCGCCGACGGGGCCGCUGAGGAGAGGGAGAAGCGCAUGUUCGUCUGCACAGUGUGCCAGAAGACGUUUCGACUUGAGGCGGCGCUACAGCACCACUAUCAGGCGAAGCACAACAUGGACAUGCCAACCUCCGCUUCGUCUCUGUCUGCUCUCGUCGGCGCGAGCACGACACCAGGGGCUGGCGGUGCCUCCGUGUCCACUCCAGGAGAGCCUAGCGCCAAUGGUGGUGGCAGUGCUGGCGCGUCUGGUGGCGUGCCUGACGUAGCUGCAGACGGUACCGCAUUUCCUGCAAACGCUUCUAGCUUCGGUGCUGCGCAGUACGUUCGACAGCAGGAGGGAGCGCUGCCUGACGCUCCGCAGUACCACCUCGAUGUGGCCCCGAACGCCCCGGAGGAGGGCGACAUUGCCGCGCACUGGCGUUGCGUGAACAUAUGUGUGCUGAUGGGCGACGUGCAGGAGGUGGAGGAGGGGUACGUAUUUGAGGAUCAUGUGCUGCAGUUCACCGUGGCGACCGAGUUUGCUACCCCGGCCCCUGGAGAUCCUGACAUGGACUUCCACACGGUGCGCGUGUACGGGCACGAGUUUUGGGCCCCACUGAAGGCGGACAUGCAGAGUGGCGGCCGCUUUCUCGUCACGGGACGACUGUGUAUGGUGCCGCAGUUUGAUACGCAGCUGAAGAAGUACUAUCACUAUCCAGUGAUUCAGGUCUUUCCCGGAUCUGGUAACGUGGUGCGCGUUUGACCCGAUUUCGUUUUAGUACGCCAGUACACGCCAGCUGUAGUGGUGGUGGACGAUGAGGAGUGUGCAGGGAAGCGGAUCCCGCAGGCUCGCGUCGUCGUCUGUUUUCGCAGCGAAGGGUACAUGCGUGCGCUGCAGGACGGUGCACCAGCGCCGAUGUAGUCAACUGCGUUCUCUUUACCGUUGGCUUGGCCGCCGGGGCGGUGCCCAUCGAAAUUGACAUGCACUACGUGCCUGAGGGGCUUUUGCUUCUUGUGUGCAGGGAGGAAGGGGGAUGCGAUGAUGUUGUGGACUUGGCGAAAAGGGGCGACGCUGGGGCGUGCUUGGAAGGGGCAGGGGAUGCGGAGGGGAUGGGCUCCAUUUCGGGGACAGGCUGAGAGGUGUGAAGAGGUGUCCCUGCGCGUGCAACUGUGGGGGCGAACAGGAUCGUACGAGAGGGCGUGUCUCCGCGGCGAAGGAGAACGUCCUCGCGCAUGCGCAUGAGUGACGGUGCGUGCUGUGGAGCGUUUCGUUGUUGCUGCCUCUUCUGGCACUCUUCCCCCCUCUGGCAGCUCUCCUGUAUUCGACUGAGACGCAUCUGUGCUUUCUGGCGCACGCGCGCAUCAUCUCUCUGGCUGCUUCGCGUCACUUCCCCUCUCCUCUCUGACCAUCUAAGUAAGGUACGGCGAGACAACAAACAAAGGCGAUGCCGAGCUGC